rnacentral:rRNA from 1 species
UACGUAGGGGGCAAGCGUUGUCCGGAAUCAUUGGGCGUAAAGAGCGUGUAGGCGGCUCGGUAAGUCCGCUGUGAAAGUCCAGGGCUCAACCCUGGAAUGCCGGUGGAAACUGUCGAGCUAGAAUCCGGAAGAGGCGAGUGGAAUUCCUGGUGUAGCGGUGAAAUGCGUAGAUAUCGGGAGGAACACCUGUGGCGAAAGCGGCUCACUGGACCAUAACUGGACGCUGAGGCGCGAAAGCUAGGGGAGCAAACAGG